UACCUCAUCAACCGGAAGGAAUUCCUUCUGAUUGAUGAGAUGUAACAACCUCAUCAACCAGAAGGGACUUCUUUUGGGUUGAUGAGGUG
rnacentral:miRNA from 1 species